GGAUCGACGCAUUAGUGCGUUUCGCAGUCCAAGAUUUAACGAACGCCGUACGAAUAACAUCAUCUCGGACAGUCGUACAAUCGGACAGUCGGACAGCAAUCGGACAGUCGGACAGUGUGAUACUCGAACCCAUAGACGUACAAUACAAACUGGUCGGACCGUGGUGAACUGUGAUAGUUGAUAGUACUGUCACAGUGUACGAUUAGUCCGAUUAGGUCCGAAUAGCGAUUGACGUUUGGUACUAUUACAUUUCGUACCUUACUAAGUAAC
rnacentral:misc_RNA from 1 species